rnacentral:rRNA from 2 species
GGUUAAGCGACUAAGCGUACACGGUGGAUGCCCUGGCAGUCAGAGGCGAUGAAGGACGUGCUAAUCUGCGAUAAGCGUCGGUAAGGUGAUAUGAACCGUUAUAACCGGCGAUUUCCGAAUGGGGAAACCCAGUGUGAUUCGUCACACUAUCAUUAACUGAAUCCAUAGGUUAAUGAGGCGAACCGGGGGAACUGAAACAUCUAAGUACCCCGAGGAAAAGAAAUCAACCGAGAUUCCCCCAGUAGCGGCGAGCGAACGGGGAGCAGCCCAGAGCCUGAAUCAGUGUGUGUGUUAGUGGAAGCGUCUGGAAAGGCGUGCGAUACAGGGUGACAGCCCCGUACACAAAAAUGCACAUACUGUGAGCUCGAUGAGUAGGGCGGGACACGUGGUAUCCUGUCUGAAUAUGGGGGGACCAUCCUCCAAGGCUAAAUACUCCUGACUGACCGAUAGUGAACCAGUACCGUGAGGGAAAGGCGAAAAGAACCCCAGCGAGGGGAGUGAAAAAGAACCUGAAACCGUGUACGUACAAGCAGUGGGAGCACGCUUAGGCGUGUGACUGCGUACCUUUUGUAUAAUGGGUCAGCGACUUAUAUUCUGUAGCAAGGUUAACCGAAUAGGGGAGCCGAAGGGAAACCGAGUCUUAACUGGGCGUUAAGUUGCAGGGUAUAGACCCGAAACCCGGUGAUCUAGCCAUGGGCAGGUUGAAGGUUGGGUAACACUAACUGGAGGACCGAACCGACUAAUGUUGAAAAAUUAGCGGAUGACUUGUGGCUGGGGGUGAAAGGCCAAUCAAACCGGGAGAUAGCUGGUUCUCCCCGAAAGCUAUUUAGGUAGCGCCUCGUGAAUUCAUCUCCGGGGGUAGAGCACUGUUUCGGCAAGGGGGUCAUCCCGACUUACCAACCCGAUGCAAACUGCGAAUACCGGAGAAUGUUAUCACGGGAGACACACGGCGGGUGCUAACGUCCGUCGUGAAGAGGGAAACAACCCAGACCGCCAGCUAAGGUCCCAAAGUCAUGGUUAAGUGGGAAACGAUGUGGGAAGGCCCAGACAGCCAGGAUGUUGGCUUAGAAGCAGCCAUCAUUUAAAGAAAGCGUAAUAGCUCACUGGUCGAGUCGGCCUGCGCGGAAGAUGUAACGGGGCUAAACCAUGCACCGAAGCUGCGGCAGCGACGCUUAUGCGUUGUUGGGUAGGGGAGCGUUCUGUAAGCCUGUGAAGGUGUGCUGUGAGGUAUGCUGGAGGUAUCAGAAGUGCGAAUGCUGACAUAAGUAACGAUAAAGCGGGUGAAAAGCCCGCUCGCCGGAAGACCAAGGGUUCCUGUCCAACGUUAAUCGGGGCAGGGUGAGUCGACCCCUAAGGCGAGGCCGAAAGGCGUAGUCGAUGGGAAACAGGUUAAUAUUCCUGUACUUGGUGUUACUGCGAAGGGGGGACGGAGAAGGCUAUGUUGGCCGGGCGACGGUUGUCCCGGUUUAAGCGUGUAGGCUGGUUUUCCAGGCAAAUCCGGAAAAUCAAGGCCGAGGCGUGAUGACGAGGCACUACGGUGCUGAAGCAACAAAUGCCCUGCUUCCAGGAAAAGCCUCUAAGCAUCAGGUAACAUCAAAUCGUACCCCAAACCGACACAGGUGGUCAGGUAGAGAAUACCAAGGCGCUUGAGAGAACUCGGGUGAAGGAACUAGGCAAAAUGGUGCCGUAACUUCGGGAGAAGGCACGCUGAUACGUAGGUGAAGCGACUUGCUCGUGGAGCUGAAAUCAGUCGAAGAUACCAGCUGGCUGCAACUGUUUAUUAAAAACACAGCACUGUGCAAACACGAAAGUGGACGUAUACGGUGUGACGCCUGCCCGGUGCCGGAAGGUUAAUUGAUGGGGUUAGCGCAAGCGAAGCUCUUGAUCGAAGCCCCGGUAAACGGCGGCCGUAACUAUAACGGUCCUAAGGUAGCGAAAUUCCUUGUCGGGUAAGUUCCGACCUGCACGAAUGGCGUAAUGAUGGCCAGGCUGUCUCCACCCGAGACUCAGUGAAAUUGAACUCGCUGUGAAGAUGCAGUGUACCCGCGGCAAGACGGAAAGACCCCGUGAACCUUUACUAUAGCUUGACACUGAACAUUGAGCCUUGAUGUGUAGGAUAGGUGGGAGGCUUUGAAGUGUGGACGCCAGUCUGCAUGGAGCCGACCUUGAAAUACCACCCUUUAAUGUUUGAUGUUCUAACGUGGACCCGUGAUCCGGGUUGCGGACAGUGUCUGGUGGGUAGUUUGACUGGGGCGGUCUCCUCCUAAAGAGUAACGGAGGAGCACGAAGGUUGGCUAAUCCUGGUCGGACAUCAGGAGGUUAGUGCAAUGGCAUAAGCCAGCUUGACUGCGAGCGUGACGGCGCGAGCAGGUGCGAAAGCAGGUCAUAGUGAUCCGGUGGUUCUGAAUGGAAGGGCCAUCGCUCAACGGAUAAAAGGUACUCCGGGGAUAACAGGCUGAUACCGCCCAAGAGUUCAUAUCGACGGCGGUGUUUGGCACCUCGAUGUCGGCUCAUCACAUCCUGGGGCUGAAGUAGGUCCCAAGGGUAUGGCUGUUCGCCAUUUAAAGUGGUACGCGAGCUGGGUUUAGAACGUCGUGAGACAGUUCGGUCCCUAUCUGCCGUGGGCGCUGGAGAACUGAGGGGGGCUGCUCCUAGUACGAGAGGACCGGAGUGGACGCAUCACUGGUGUUCGGGUUGUCAUGCCAAUGGCACUGCCCGGUAGCUAAAUGCGGAAGAGAUAAGUGCUGAAAGCAUCUAAGCACGAAACUUGCCCCGAGAUGAGUUCUCCCUGACCCUUUAAGGGUCCUGAAGGAACGUUGAAGACGACGACGUUGAUAGGCCGGGUGUGUAAGCGCAGCGAUGCGUUGAGCUAACCGGUACUAAUGAACCGUGAGGCUUAACCUU